AGUGAACGCUGGCGGUAGGCCUAACACAUGCAAGUCGAACGGCAGCACAGUAAGAGCUUGCUCUUACGGGUGGCGAGUGGCGGACGGGUGAGGAAUACAUCGGAAUCUACUUUUUCGUGGGGGAUAACGUAGGGAAACUUACGCUAAUACCGCAUACGACCUACGGGUGAAAGCAGGGGAUCUUCGGACCUUGCGCGAUUGAAUGAGCCGAUGUCGGAUUAGCUAGUUGGCGGGGUAAAGGCCCACCAAGGCGACGAUCCGUAGCUGGUAUGAGAGGAAGAUCCACCCCAACGGAACAAGAGCACGGUUCCGAGGUCUAAGGGAGGCAGCAGUGGGGAAUAUUAGACAAUGGGCGGAAAUCUUGUCCAACCCAAACCAGUGGGAUGAGGCGGCCUUCGGGUUCUAAAGCCGUUUUGUUGGGAAAGAAAAGCAGCAGGUUAAUACCCCGCUGUUCUGACGGUACCCAAAGAAUAAGCACCGGCUAACUUCGUG
rnacentral:rRNA from 1 species